rnacentral:lncRNA from 1 species
GUCUAUACAUUGUAUGUCCCUUCUAACUUCACUCUUGAUAUAGGUCAAGUCAAGUUCAUGUGUCUAUACAUUGUAUGUCCCUUCUAACUUCACUCUUGAUAUAGGUCAAGUCAAGUUCAUGUGUCUAUACAUUGUAUGUCCCUUCUAACUUCACUCUUGAUAUAGGUCAAGUCAAGUUCAUGUGUCUUUACAUUGUAUGUUCCUUCUAACUUCACUCUUGAUAUAGGUCUAUACAUUGUAUGUCCCUUCUAACUUCACUCUUGAUAUAGGUCUAUACAUUGUAUGUCCCUUCUAACUUCAC